UCCCUUCGGGACGCCCUCAUUUCCCCUCCCCCACAGGGGUGUGGCCGCGCCCCGGGCCUCUGUGAGGCCCCGUCUUCCUAGCCGAUCGCCCCGCGCCGAAGCGAAGCCCACGUCAGCAGCUUUCCCUAGGAAAGGCGGCCGUUCCCAAACCUGCCAUCCCAAACGUGCGGGUUCCAGCCAAGCCCGGAAGGUGGGCGUGCAAAUGGGGCAGUCCCUCUGAAACCCGUUGGCACUGUGUGUUACUAUUUUAAAAUCACGUGCCUUUUGGUAUCAGCACUUCCUACCUAUAGACCCAGACAGAGCCGAGUCGUUAGGCUUCGCUGGAUUUUCUCCUCCUCCUCCUCACAAACUCCAUCCCAGUAGCCGCCGGGCUCAGCCCCAGCCGGGCCUCCCUUUUGCACAAUUUCUCCCCUCGCCGCCCAGCGGUCUCCAUGACAACGAGGUGCGCUCCUCCACUCCGGUCGGCUCUAAGGAGGUGGGCGGAGGGUGGCGCGGGGCAGUCCCCCUUCUCAGCUUAUUUCUUCCGUAGACUUUAUUCCCCAAAUCGGCUUCCCAGAGAAGCUGUUUUGUGGAAGCUGGAAACUAAAAAUCUCUAGGACACCUCUGGUUGAGGUUUAAGAAUCCAACUCUGAGAAGUCAAGCCUUCCACGUGAGAAUGACCUCGCAGAUUAGGCGUCGGAUUUUGUAACCGGUAAAAAUCGUGUGUGUGGUGGGGGAAGGGGUGGAGGAUUAUCCUAGAAAUAAAACCCUCAAAUGUUCAACAUUCUUACAAAAAUUGCCAACCCCUGAGCCUCCCGCUGUUGGGCCUUCAUCUCUGGCAGGCGAGAUUCUUCAGCCGCCCCAGAAAAAAAAUGAUAAUUAUAGCUCCCACUUGUAUUCUUGUUUAAAAGAAAUGAAAAAAAUCCAAAGAGGAUGGAGGAAGAAAACAAAACAUGGCUCAGAUUUCUCUACCCAGCUAUACUUGGUUGCCACUU